UUAUAACAUAGUCAUGCAUUUGUCUGUGAAAUAAAGAAGUGAGAUCAAGACUGUGUUCAAACACUUCCUUUUUCAUCCCUGAAGUGACACAAUCUAUCGUGUGUUUUGCUCAAACAUCCCAGUCACAUGAUGUGGAAGGUUGAUUGAGUUUGGCAUCUGAGUUUGGGAUUUGUGUCGUGAAUCUAUAGUUGCCAACAUAUAUAACACAUAUCAGUGGUUGGCCCUUGUGAAGACAACAUGCUUGUGGUGUUUGGACUCCUGGUGAUGUUAACUGGACUCUCUAAUGGCACAGAGGAGAAAUCCUGUGAUGCUAGACAGAACAUGUCAUGUCAUGGAGCUCUGGGAGAAACUGUCUAUCUUCAGCUGAUGAAUAAUGCCACAGGGUCUGAACUAAUAUUCAAAAAAGACCCCACUGCUUAUCAUGCAGGAGAAUCUUAUGGGACUGUCAUAGGCUCACUAGUAGCUGUGGUCCUGGUCCUAACCGUGGUGGUGGGACCUUACUGUAUUCACAAGAGGAGGACACCUUCACAGAUUCCAGGUCAGUCGUGUGACAGAUCUAAAAAACAAAGAGUACUAUGUACAGUACACCGAUUGAUACCACAUUCAGUCAGCUCAUGUGACUGUUGUUUCAGUGUUAUUGCUCACUUUAGAACUUUUUAUGUGGGCUUUUCUACUUCACAUAGUGUUGGCCUAGAUACGUUUCAAUAGGGCUAUUUCCAGAUCUACAGAUAGGCCAAGUGCAUGUGAACUAUGUGAAUCUAUGUGAAUCAACAUUAAUGCUUAAUGCCCCAAUGCAGCUGUUUUUAUAUCAAUAUCAAAUCAUUUCUGGGUAACAAUUAAGUACCUUACUCUAAUAGAUUGCUAUUCAAAUGGGCAAAAAUAGCAUUUUAGCAAACAUUUUCCUAGGUCUGUCUGGGACUGGUCUAAGUGGGAAGUGGACAACUGAAAACUAGCUGUUAUUGGCAGAGAGGAUUGGAAGUCUUUUGUUAUUGGUCUAUUAACUAAUUUACCACAUGGUGAGGUCACCAUGGAAAGCCGAAACUCCUUCCCAAGCAAACCUGCAGAAUAGAAGGUCAUGUGCAGAUUGUAUUGUCAACCAACAACUAUCAGGAAAUUAUGUUGUCAUACUUUUACAGUGUUAUAUUCAUCAGCUGUUGUACAAUAUGAUAUAAAACACAGCAAACACAUUAUUUGGACUGCACUGGGCCAUUAAGUAGGCUUUUGACCCUCAAAGUGUAAUUGUCUACAAAUGAUCUGUGCAGUAGUCAAUUCCCCUCCAAACACUCAUGUCACAUCUCCCGAGUCCCCACAGAUGCUGAUGAGAGUCCAGAACUGGAAUAUGCUGACAUCAAUAUUCUAAAGAAGAUGGAGAAACACAGGGAGGUUCCAGAGGAUGUGGAGUAUGGACAGGUUGUAGUAUUGAAGGGUUCCAGACCAACCACAGAGAGAGACAGACCUGAGGGGCGGGAGGAGACUGUGUAUGCUGGAAUACAGCUUGACCAAUGAGAGAGAUUCUUGUGAAGGGUUGAUAUUUAGACAGAACAUUAAAGCUCUGUUGCUUCUUUUGUUACUGUAACUAUUAGUAUCUAACGGUCCCAUAUUUCUGUACACAUUUACAUGAAAUGUAAAUGAACAACCCAACAACUAAACUGUAUACACUGGCCGUAGAGAGUCCUUCUGUUAUUGAUUGAACAUGUUUUUACCCUUUAAAGUCUCAACAUACAGCCAUACUAACCAUUUCCAUCUACAACAUGCUAUUACACAGUAGUAACAACAGUAACAGUGGUACAAGU
ensembl:lncRNA